CAGCCGCCGCGGGAAUACAGAGGGUGCGAGCGUUAAUCGGAUUUACUGGGCGUAAAGCGUGCGUAGGCGGCUUCUUAAGUCGGAUGUGAAAUCCCUGAGCUUAACUUAGGAAUUGCAUUCGAUACUGGGAAGCUAGAGUAUGGUAGAGGAUGGUAGAAUUCCAGGUGUAGCGGUGAAAUGCGUAGAGAUCUGGAGGAAUACCGAUGGCGAAGGCAGCCAUCUGGCCUAAUACUGACGCUGAGGUACGAAAGCAUGGGGAGCAAACAGGAUUAGAUACCCGAGUAGUCCCUGUCUCUUAUAC
rnacentral:rRNA from 1 species